UACAGAGGUCCCAAGCGUUGUUCGGAUUCAUUGGGCGUAAAGGGUGCGUAGGCGGCGCGGGAAGUCGGGUGUGAAAUCUCGGAGCUUAACUCCGAAACUGCAUUCGAUACUGCCGUGCUUGAGGACUGGAGAGGAGACUGGAAUUUACGGUGUAGCGGUGAAAUGCGUAGAUAUCGUGAGGAAUACCAGAGGCGAAGGCGGCUCCCUGGACAAUUGCUGACGCUCAGGCACGAAAGCGUGGGGAGCAAAAGGG
rnacentral:rRNA from 1 species